rnacentral:tRNA from 2 species
GUCGGGGUGGCUCAGCCUGGUCAGAGCGCCUGACUCAUAAUCAGGAGGCCGCGGGUUCAACUCCCGCCCCCGACA